UACGUAGGUGGCAAGCGUUGUCCGGAUUUAUUGGGUUUAAAGGGUGCGUAGGCGGCUUUGUAAGUCAGUGGUGAAAUAUGGCAGCUCAACUGUCAAGGUGCCAUUGAUACUAUCUGUCUUGAAUACCGUGGAGGUGAGCGGAAUAUGUCAUGUAGCGGUGAAAUGCUUAGAUAUGACAUAGAACACCAAUUGCGAAGGCAGCUCACUACGCGAAUAUUGACACUGAGGCACGAAAGCGUGGGGAUCAAACAGG
rnacentral:rRNA from 1 species